GGGGUUAUAGCUCAAUUGGUAGAGCACCAGCUUUGCAAGCUGGGGGUUAGCGGUUCGAUUCCGCUUAACUCCA
rnacentral:tRNA from 1 species